ensembl:lncRNA
UUGUGGUUAGGCCUUCAAUGAUGAUUUGUUUAGUGAGAAAAUAGGUAAGCUUCGUAAUGUGAGUGAGAAGCGAUCGGAAAAACAGGCAGACACAAAGUAUAAACAGUGAACUAAAACAUUAUUUAAGGAUGGAUUAUUUUUUCGGAUUUAUAUAAUUAAUGAUGUGUUAGGUGAGGUUAUGUGUCAUGUUGCAAUAUGAUUAAUGAUGUGUUAGGUGAGGUUAUGUGUCAUGUUGCAUGUUGUAAUAUGAUGAAUGAUGUGUUAGGUGAGGUUAUGUGUCAUGUUGCAUGUUGUAAUAUGAUUAAUGAUGUGUUAGGUGAGGUUAUGUGUCAUGCUGCAUGUUGUAAUAUAAUUAAUCAUGUGUUAGGUGAGGUUAUGUGUCAUGUUGCAUGUGUGUGUGGGGGGCGCCAGGGGUGAAGCUUGCCCUGUGCAUGUUUACCAUUGGCCAGCAACCCUUAGGCUUAUUGGUUAAGAAAUUAGUAAAUUCAGGUAUUAGGGAUUUUUAUUGGUUGGCGGGGAGAGACACGUGGGGAAGCAGAGACAGAGAAGGAGAGAAGCGAGGACGACGAGAGAGAAGUAGAGAAAAACACCUGUGC